CUCUUUUCCUCUGUGACCCAGAUGAAGAAUAGAUUCAAAAAAGCUCAGUUCCUCCCUUGGCAAUGCAAGACAGAAAAAGAAACUGUCACUUCCAAACAGGCUAGUACCGGAGUAAAAGCAUGAAGGAGGACAGCGCUCCUGGGGCUUAAGCCAUCCGGAGGAGAGCAGGACUGAGCACAGGAGGGGAACUUCAGGAAAAGGAGAUUCUUCAAGCAGUCCGCCCGGGAAAUGGAAUAUGUAAAAUCGCCUUUGCAGAAAGACAGCCUGCAUAAAAGCAAGUGGAAUGGCACCUGGAGGAUAUCUGCUUGGUCAGUUAGGAUAAUAUUUAUGAAGAAAGCUCGGUCUUAAUCAAAAGCCAAAUGCAGAGUUUUCCAAGGAGCUCCUGCGGAAAUAGCCACCCUUCUGAAGAGAAAACACAGGAGCUAGAGAUACCUUAGAGAAUGAACAGUAGAGGUAAGGAUUGUUUAAGCCUAAUGUAUCAUAUGUCUCCAGGGUAAGGGCCUAGAGGAAGGCCUGGGUUAAGACAGGACACAAUAACAG
rnacentral:lncRNA from 1 species